UGUGUCUGCCCCCAUUUUCCUUCCCCUCCCCUCCCCAGCUGUGGGCUGAGCUAGAGACGGGGUCAGAGAGACUGGAGAGAUGGUAGGCGUGGCUGAGGUGUCCUGUGGCCAGGCGGAAAGCAGUGAGAAGCCCAACGCUGAGGACAUGACAUCCAAAGAUUACUACUUUGACUCCUACGCACACUUUGGCAUCCACGAGGAGAUGCUGAAGGACGAGGUGCGCACCCUCACUUACCGCAACUCCAUGUUUCAUAACCGGCACCUCUUCAAGGACAAGGUGGUGCUGGACGUCGGCUCGGGCACCGGCAUCCUCUGCAUGUUUGCUGCCAAGGCCGGGGCCCGCAAGGUCAUCGGGAUCGAGUGUUCCAGUAUCUCUGAUUAUGCGGUGAAGAUCGUCAAAGCCAACAAGUUAGACCACGUGGUGACCAUCAUCAAGGGGAAGGUGGAGGAGGUGGAGCUCCC
rnacentral:circRNA from 1 species